rnacentral:misc_RNA from 1 species
GAGAACCUGCGGCUGGAUCACCUCCUUUCUAGGGAGAAUGGAAGCAAAGCUUCCAGACUGGCACCUAAUUCUGUUUAAUUUUGAAAGACUAAGUCUUUCAUAUUUGUUCUUUGAAAAUUGCACAGUGAUGAAGAAACGAAAUAAACCUAGUUAACAAAUAUAAUUUGUUAAUAAUAGUAAUUGAUGAUAGAUCAAGCUACAAAGGGCGCACGGUGAAUGCCCUGGCACUAGGAGCCGAUGAAGGACGUGAUAAGC